rnacentral:rRNA from 1 species
CGCGGUAAUUCCAGCUCCAAUAGCGUAUACUAAAGUUGUUGCAGUUAAAAAGCUCGUAGUUGAAUUUCUGGUCUCGGGCUUCGGUCUGCCUCAAACGAGGUACGCACCAGUUGUCUGAAUCCAUCCUCGGGGAGAACAUAUGUGUCAUUUGGUUGAUGUGUAUGGGAUCCUCGUCAUUUACUGUGAGCAAAAUAGAGUGUUCAAAGCAGGCUUAUGCCGUUGAAUACAUUAGCAUGGAAUAAUAAGAUAAGACCUUGGUCUAUUUUGUUGGUUUGUACUCCAAGGUAAUGAUUAAUAGGGAUAGUUGGGGGUAUUCGUAUUCAAUUGUCAGAGGUGAAAUUCUUGGAUUUAUGGAAGACGAACUACUGCGAAAGCAUUUACCAAGGAUGUUUUCAUUAAUCAAGAACGAAAGUUAGGGGAUCGAAGAUGAUUAGAUACCAUCGUAGUCUUAACCAUAAACUAUGCCGACUAGGGAUUGGUGGACGUUUGUAACGACUCCAUCAGCACCUUAUGAGAAAUCAAAGUCUUUGGGUUCCGGGGGGAGUAUGGUCGCAAGGCUGAAACUUAAAGAAAUUGACGG